UACGGAGGAUCCGAGCGUUAUCCGGAUUUAUUGGGUUUAAAGGGUGCGCAGGCGGAAGAUUAAGUCGGUGGUGAAAUUUUGCAGCUCAACUGUAAAAGUGCCAUUGAUACUGGUUUUCUUGAGUGUGGAUGAAGUAGGCGGAAUUUGUGGUGUAGCGGUGAAAUGCAUAGAUAUCACGAGGAACUCCGAUUGCGCAGGCAGCUUACCAAACCAUAACUGACGCUCAGGCACGAAGGCGUGGGGAUCAAACAGGAUUAGAUA
rnacentral:rRNA from 1 species